rnacentral:rRNA from 1 species
UGGGGAAUAUUGGACAAUGGGCGCAAGCCUGCUCCAGCCAUGCCGCGUGUGUGAAGAAGGCCUUUUGGUUGUAAAGCACUUUAAGCGAGGAGGAGGCUACUUGGAUUAAUACUCUAGGAUAGUGGACGUUCCUCGCAGAAUAAGCACCGGCUAACUCUGUGCCAGCAGCCGCGGUAAUACAGAGGGUGCGAGCGUUAAUCGGAUUUACUGGGCGUAAAGCGUGCGUAGGCGGCUUCUUAAGUCGGAUGUGAAAUCCCUGAGCUUAACUUAGGAAUUGCAUUCGAUACUGGGAAGCUAGAGUAUGGGAGAGGAUGGUAGAAUUCCAGGUGUAGCGGUGAAAUGCGUAGAGAUCUGGAGGAAUACCGAUGGCGAAGGCAGCCAUCUGGCCUAAUACUGACGCUGAGGUACGAAAGCAUGGGGAGCAAACAGG